GGAAAAUGAACGUGGAGUAAGAGCGCCAUCUAUCUGACUUUGUGAGGUAUAGACCCAAGGACCUUAAAGUUGAACAAAGGAUGUAGUUCAGUUUGUUUACCAGUGAUUCAACGCAGGUCCAGGGAGGAGAGGGCAUUGCCAAAGUACAAUUUGCUGAAUGUAAAUGGCAAUCAUUUUAAUACCUGGAGCCAUUUUAUUAUGUGCAAGUAGCGUGGAUUCACUGACCACUGCUUUGCAGAUUUGACGUGCGACAUCACAGUUCGAAAACGAUGGUCUUUCUUUUCCAAACACCCAAAAAUAGUUGGCUGCACUGGAUUGUUGUUAUACUGAAAUGCGUUACAACGCAUAAUUACAUAGUAUUUCUUAAGUUGCAAUUUGUUAAAUUAAAGAGAUGAAACUGUUAA